CCUUGGGGAGGUGGGGAGUGGGUGGGGGCUCCUUGGGGAGGUGAGGGUAUGGAAGGACAAGGUCACCACAUCUCCAGGCUCUCUACCCCACACCGCAGGGCUGGCGGCUGGGCGUGGAUCACAGGUGGAGGGCCAGCUGACAUCAUAUGCAGUGGUGCAGAGCAGAUGUGCAAGUCCAAGUGCGUUAGUUAGGCUCCCAUGGUCUCCUGAGGACCCGGGGCUGAGGACUGGCUUUCUGGUUGCACAGGGUUGUGAUGAACACCGUCGGUUUCUAGAACAACACCCAUGGGGUGCAGAAAGGGGUCCACAGGGCCGAAGGCCUCUUCCUGCUUUCCUCUCCUUCCAGCCAGUCUAACUCUAGGGCUUUGCUGCACUAUCUGUAUUUUAUGUCACAGGCAAUCAGACAGAAAAAGUUAAGACUGCUCAUGCCAGAAAAUUCCUAGAUCCUAGAUGAGAUGUUACUCUUACUCUGAAUCACCCACCUCCCAAAUCUGCCCACGUGUGUGUUCGCUCCUUGAUGGAUUUCACGAGAGGAACAAAGGACAUCUAGAAUUAUGGCACCUAAAAGCCAACUCUAUCAAGUAAUGAAAAAUCAUUUUAAUUUGUAGUCUUAUCUCACCUAAAGGUCACACAGAAUCCUGAGUGUAUUUCUCUAUUAGAGAAAUUUAAUUUAAAAAAUCUUCAAACUAGAAAAUGCAUCUUUUAUUAUUAUAGUUGUCCAUAUUGAUUCAAAUUGCAAAUGAGAAAAAAUGCAUAAAUUCAAUUUAAAUCCAAAGUAACGUAAUGAAAUUUAACAAUAUAAGUAUUAGCAUGAAUAUUAUCUGUUUUCUCCAUAUAGAAUCCCUGCGUGAGGAGCAAUUUGGGUAUCAUUUCCUGGACAGAGAGGACCUCGGGCGAGGCACAAAGGGGCUCUGAUGAUCUUUUGCCUUCUUAUUCUUGUGUAUAAUGAAAGCCACCACCAGUUUAAGCUGAGAAUCGAAGAAGAGACCGUUUGCUUUCCCCACAGAUCCAUAGGGAAUGGACUCUGUCUAAAACGCUUCCCUAGCCCAGCUCCUCUGUGGGCCACAGCCUUCCUUCUGGGUACGGAUAGAACGUGGGGCGAGGUAUCGCUGCUCAGGGUGUAGAGAUCAUGUUGUCAUGAAUCAUGCAAAUCUCCCUCUGUACCGACUACGGGGCCUCGCCUUGCUGCACAGCACAUGGCCACCCAAACCUUCCGUGAAGCCGAUGGCUCAGGUGGCCCUACAGUCCAUCAGAUGAGUACAAAGUCACCCAGGGGAACGAUGCCAGUCGCUGGCGAGCGUCAGUUGUGGGAAGGGUUGACUGUGGCAGGCAGCGGUAGAAUGUGGGGUACUGUUAGACGUGUCUAAUUACCACCGAGAGGGCCUGCCUUUGUGUCCACAGGAAAGACUAGAGCUCGUGUAAUGAUUAAACAGCAAAAAGAUCAAAACUAAAACGAGCAGACCACAAAUCAGACAAAAGUUACACAUACUUGUACACACAUACACCCCCCCCACACACACACACACGGG
rnacentral:lncRNA from 1 species